rnacentral:rRNA from 1 species
GACGGACGCUGGCGGCGUGCUUAACACAUGCAAGUCGAACGGAAAGGCCCUGCUUUUGUGGGGUGCUCGAGUGGCGAACGGGUGAGUAACACGUGAGUAACCUGCCCUUGACUUUGGGAUAACUUCAGGAAACUGGGGCUAAUACCGGAUAGGAGCUCCUGCUGCAUGGUGGGGGUUGGAAAGUUUCGGCGGUUGGGGAUGGACUCGCGGCUUAUCAGCUUGUUGGUGGGGUAGUGGCUUACCAAGGCUUUGACGGGUAGCCGGCCUGAGAGGGUGACCGGCCACAUUGGGACUGAGAUACGGCCCAGACUCCUACGGGAGGCAGCAGUGGGGAAUAUUGCACAAUGGGCGGAAGCCUGAUGCAGCAACGCCGCGUGCGGGAUGACGGCCUUCGGGUUGUAAACCGCUUUCGCCUGUGACGAAGCGUGGGUGACGGUAAUGGGUAAAGAAGCACCGGCUAACUACGUG